rnacentral:rRNA from 1 species
GACGAACGCUGGCGGCGUGCCUAAUACAUGCAAGUCGAACGCAGUGGGGACGGGUGAGUCACACGUGGGUAACCUCCCAUCAGAGGGGAUAACACUUGGAAACAGGUGCUAAACCGAUACUGAUGGAUGAACCCGCGGUGCAGUAGCUAGUUGGUGAGGUAACGGCUCACCAAGGGCACGAGGCAUAGCCGGCCGUGGAGGUGGCUCGGCCACACUGGGACUGAGACACGGCCCAGACUCCUACGGGAGGCAGCAGUAGGGAAUCGUCGGCAAUGGACGAAAGUCUGACCGAGCAACGCCGCGUGAGUGAAGAAGGUUUUCGGAUCGUAAAACUCUGUUGUUAGAGAAGCGGUAUCUAACCAGAAAGUCACGGCUAACUCCGUGCCAGCAGCCGCGGUAAUUC